AGUGAACGCUGGCAGUAGGCCUAACACAUGCAAGUCGAACGGCAGCACAGUAAGAGCUUGCUCUUACGGGUGGCGAGUGGCUUACGGGUGAGGAAUAAACCGGAAUCUACUUUUUCGUGGGGGGUAACGUAGGGAAACUUACGCUAAUACCGCAUACGACCUUCGUGUGAAAGCAGUGGAUCUUCGGACCUUGCGCGAUCGAAUGAGCCGAUGUCGGAUUAGCUAGUUGGCGGGGUAAAGGCCCACCAAGGCGACGAUCCGUAGCUGGUCUGAGAGGAUGAUCAGCCACACUGGAACUGAGACACGGUCCAGACUCCUACGGGAGGCAGCAGUGGGGAAUAUUGGACAAUGGGCGCAAGCCUGAUCCAGCAAUACCGCGUGGGUGAAGAAGGCUUUCGGGUUGUAAAGCCCUUUUGUUAGAAAAGAAAAGCAGUAGGUUAAUACCCCGCUGUCCUGACGGUACCCAAAGAAUAAGCAGCGGCUAACUUCGUG
rnacentral:rRNA from 1 species